AGGCAAAGCAAGGACGAGAUUGGCUUUGAGAAGUGUGUCACCAUGGAGGUUAUCCAGAAGAAUUUGGAGGGCUGGUGGUAUAUCAGAUACCUGGUCAAAGAGGGCUGGGCACCAGCAUCCUACCCAAAGAAGGCCAAGGAUGACCUGCCAACCUGGAAAAAGAAUCUGGCAGGCCCCUUGGAGAUCACUGGGAACAUCAUGGAGAUCAGCCACCUGUUAAACAAGAAGAGGUCUGGGGACAAGGAGGUGAAGGCCCUGAAGUCUCUUUGCUAAAAAGGAGAUUAGCCUUCCCAUCCUGUGCAAUGCUUCCAAUGGCAGUGCCCUCAGUGUCCCCGAGAGGACCGUCUCCAAACUGGCCCAGGGUUCUCCAGCUGUAGCCAGGAUUGCCCCACAGAGGGCCCAAAUCAGCUCCCCAAACCUAAGGACAAGAUCUCCACCAUGCCAAGAAUCCAGCUUCGGGUUUCAGCUGCCGAAGCCACCAGAGCCCCCUUCUGUCGAGGUGGAGUACUACACCAUUGCAAAGUUCCAAUCAUGCAUCUCUGAAGUGAUCAGCUUCCACUAUGGAUUGAAUGCAGAGGUCAUUGACAAGAACUCAGGCUGGUGGUAAGUGCAGAUCUGUGAGAAGGAGGGCUGGGCCCCCACAUCCUACAUCAAUAAGCAAAAGAAGCCUAACUUGAGCAGCCGCAGGAGCAC
rnacentral:lncRNA from 1 species